CACGACCCUUCCAAAGUGACAUCAUACACCCUCUACAGUGACAUCACCCUCUUUAUGCCGCAUUAUCUAUAACAGGCAAUGGUGUAAAUUAAAGGAUGCGGCGGAAGGCAUCAAAGACACAUUAUUCAACGCCACGUAAGAAGACACCAGCAUUAAAUGGCACAAGCCACCUUGACCAGCACUUGGUUCAGCCCCUGUCAGCAAAGCCAAUUACUGUCCCAGAUGGCACCAAGCACUUGUAGGGGAACCAGACAGAGGCAACCAGGAGUUGUGGGGGACCAGUGAGGCACUGGGGCUAGGUCUCGGGUGAAGCUGUACCACACAUAGACUUGUAUCCAGUAACCAAACACCCAUCAGCGGUGUGAAGUACAUGAGGCCCGGGAUGAAGAAUUGGCACCGACUGGCAAAAUAGUGCUGGGAUUUCAUACAUAUGGCCCGAAUACUGGUUCAGACAAAAUUUUACAAUUAUCAUUGGAAUGAAACACUAAGAAUUUUAUGGAGACUUGUACGGGGUGGUAUGUCAUCGUGUAGCCCUAAAUGUCUACUAUAAAACGCUCUAUAUUCAUCGUGCAUGUAAUUAUAUAUAGUCUCCUACCUAAUAAUAUACUGGUAAAGGGGAGAACCAGUUGGUGCAGGAAUGUGGCCUUUAUAACUAC